rnacentral:tRNA from 3 species
GCCGCUAUAGCUCAGUGGUUAGAGCAUCGCACUCGUAAUGCGGGGGUCGACGGUUCAACUCCGUCUAGCGGCA